GAUGAACGCUGGCGGCGUGCCUAAUACAUGCAAGUCGAGCGAACAGACGAGGAGCUUGCUCCUCUGACGUUAGCGGCGGACGGUUGAGUAACACGUGGAUAACCUACCUAUAAGACUGGGAUAACUUCGGGAAACCGGAGCUAAUACCGGAUAAUAUAUUGAACCGCAUGGUUCAAUAGUGAAAGACGGUUUUGCUGUCACUUAUAGAUGGAUCCGCGCCGCAUUAGCUAGUUGGUAUGGUAACGGCUUACCAAGGCAACGAUGCGUAGCCGACCUGAGAGGGUGAUCGGCCACACUGGAACUGAGACACGGUCCAGACUCCUACGGGAGGCAGCAGUAGGGAAUCUUCCGCAAUGGGCGAAAGCCUGACGGAGCAACGCCGCGUGAGUGAUGAAGGUCUUCGGAUCGUAAAACUCUGUUAUUAGGGAAGAACAAAUGUGUAAGUAACUAUGCACGUCUUGACGGUACCUAAUCAGAAAGCCACGGCUAACUACGUG
rnacentral:rRNA from 1 species